AGAGGGGCGGAAACAGGCAUUAAAGGAAGCUACACCUCAUUCAGUGUUGGCUGGGAAGGACAAAUGAAAGUGGAAACUAGUCUUUUUUCAUUCUAUAUUUCAAACUACAAAACAUGGCUGAAGACUGAGUGUCACUGGAGCUGCAGGUGGAAGUUCUGAGCCAUCUAUUAAAGUAAGGUUAAAAAAGGAGUCAUCAAGGUCUACGUUUUACAAAAGAUUAUGAAAAAACAUUUGUAAGCUGUUACUCUACUUCCAGUAUAAAGACUCUAUUUAGAGAAACAUUAACUAGGAAAUAAUUUAUAAAAGAUAAGAAAAUACUGCCCAAUAGACACCUUCUACCUUUGGACCCUGAACAAGGCUAAGAGGCUAACAUGUUCAAGUCAACCAUUCAAACUAAAAGCCUCAGGAAUGGGGGUAUUUUCAGCUCCAAAUGUGUCCUUGCUGAGGAAUGAAGUCUUUCAUUUUCACUACCACAAAAGAAAGACAAAGAUGAAGCCCUAACAAGCCUUGGCAACUAAAUGCCUGAGCUGAUGAGCAGACAGAAUCAGACCAUCAUGUUCUGGAGAAGGCUUCGUUGAACAUCAAGUAAAGAGACAAACAGCAACAAUAAAAAAAAACAACAACUUUACACUCAUCCAUCUCUUUGCUCAUUUAGCAGUUAGUUUUUAGGUACCUCCUGACAGCUUUUGGAGUCAGUAGGAAUGGCUUAUUCCUGAAAAAUCCACACGAAUGUUCCAACAACCACAAAAUAAAAGCAAAAUCUUGUGUCCUUAA